AAACGCCAAAAUGACUUUUAAAUUGUCAGUUUCUUACAGAACUUAGGAAAAAGAAAAUGUUUAAAGAAUUUCGUCUAUAAAAUUAUUAAAACGGGUAAAUUUCCCUUGAAAAAUAAAAAAAUAUUUAAAAUUAGAUAAUUUUAAGAAGAAGGUAAAUUCCAUGUAAAUGUCCGGAAUUGUAAAUAAAUUAUUCGUGAGCCAUUAAAUCCUUAAAGUUUAAGUCGAAAAUUUAAGGUGAAGAUUCCUCCUGCAAAGAGGGGAGGUCGCUGAAAGUGAAGAAGUAAUUUAAAGUAUGGGAAAAGAGUGCUGCAAGCCAUGUCCCUGUGUUGAGUCCAUGUGCCCUCCUUGCGAUCAAGAAGUUCAUCGAUGUCGCAGUAGAGAGCUUCGGGCCUCCAUUCUUUACAUAUCUUGCGACUGCAUUAAAAGAAAUGGUUUACAGCAGGACUGCCAACGUAGCGAAUGUCAAGGAAAACCCUGCUGCUUGGUAAAGCCGUUUCCAC